rnacentral:tRNA from 1 species
CGGGAAGUGGCCUCAGCUUGUAGAGCACCUGUUUGGGACCAGGGGGUCGCAGGUUCAAAUCCUGUCUUCCCGA